GGUAGUUGAGUGGUGAUGGGCACCGGCGGGCGGAGCGGCCUGCGGUCGGGCAAGGGGAGCGCUGAUGGGGCGGCAGCGACUCCUACUGCUGCCUCGGCCUCCUGCCAGUACAGGUGCAUCGAAUGCAACCAGGCGGCCAAGGAGUUGUACCGGGACUAUAACCACGGUGUGCUAAAGAUCACCAUCUGCAAUUCCUGCCAGAAACCUGUAGAUAAAUACAUCGAGUACGAUCCCGUUAUCAUCUUGAUUAAUGCUAUUUUAUGCAAAGCCCAAGCCUACAGGCAUAUUCUUUUCAACACUAAAAUAAAUAUCCACGGCAAGCUCUGCAUGUUCUGUCUGCUCUGCGAGGCCUACCUGAGGUGGUGGCAGCUUCAAGACUCCAGCCAGAACACCGCCCCUGACGACUUAAUCAGAUAUGCCAAGGAGUGGGACUUCUACUGGAUGUUCGCCAUCGCCUCUCUGGAACAAAUCACCUACUUCGUCGGCAUUUUUACUUUCCUGUGGAUAGAACGGCCCGUGACCGCGAAAGAAAGGCCCAGCCUGGUGCUGCUGCUGAAGGCGCUGCUGCUGUCCAGCUACGGGAAGCUCCUGCUGAUCCCAGCUGUCAUCUGGGAGCACGACUACACGCCCCUGUGCCUCAAGCUCAUUAAAGUCUUCGUCCUCACGUCAAACUUCCAAGCCGUCAGAGUGACCCUGAACGCCGACCGCAAGCUCUCCUUGCUGGCCGUCCUGAGUGGCUUUGUGCUGGAGAGCACCGUGGUCUACUUCUUCCAGAGGAUGGAGUGGGACGUCGGAAGUGACUGCGCCAUCUACAGGUCUCAGGACUUCUGAGGUGUGAGUGCGUUCGCGCACCCGCCCUUCUCACGUAGCCGGGAGUGGACAUGAGCAGCCUCCCUGUGGUGACAGCGCUAAACCCUCCCGCCUCUCCCCCUCUCCUGAAGCACCACCUCUGCUCCUCGGCCUCCUCGUUGCCCAGAAGACCCUGUCUUCCUGGUGUGCAGA